GCGUAUCGCAUGUAAUACGCACGUAAUGCGUUAAAGGCGUGUUGCGUUAUAGCCGGGAACCCCGCGGGCCGGACCAGAUUCGCGCAAUGCCGUGUGAACCUUGAUCUACUUACCGGUCUGGCGUGGCCCGCAACGCACAAUGUCUCGUACCUCUCUCGCCCACCACCUCUCUGGCUACUCUGGAUAUCCCGACGCCUGUUUUGGCAACGAAUAAAUCCUGAAGAGAAGCCUCUCGCGAAUUCUCCGUUACAAAAACUUAUUCCGAGUAUCGUAACUCGAAGCUGCGAACAGUUUUUGAAUCACCAGGGUACCUGUAUACAUAUAUCGUAAGUAAAAAACAUUUUGAAUCACUUGUCACUUUUAUGAAAGAUACAUAAAAUAAAUUUGAACGCUGCUUUUACGCCUUACACAUAACAUCUAGGAGUUCGCCUUACACGUAAACAUCUAGGAGUUCGCCUUACACGUAAACAUCUAGAAGUUACCUCUUUCAACAAUACAAAAUAAAUAAAUUAUUUUCACUUAUCGACACAAAACAAGUUUCAUACAUCGUUGUUAUGCUUUAAAAUUAUUUUCCUAUCUCAGAUAAAUCUGAAAAUAAUGAAUAACUAAAAAAAA